rnacentral:rRNA from 1 species
GGGUCAGUAGGUUGGUCAUGCCACUGGUAUGUACUGGUCUCACUGAUUCCUCCUUCCUGAUGAACUGUAAUGCCAUUAAUUUGGUGUUGCAGGGAAUCUUGGACUGUUACUUUGAAAAAAUUAGAGUGUUUAAAGCAGGCUAACGCCUGAAUACAUUAGCAUGGAAUAAUGAAAUAGGACGUUCGAUCCUAUUUUGUUGGUUUCUAGGAUUGACGUAAUGAU